rnacentral:rRNA from 1 species
UAACNACUCUCGGCAACGGAUAUCUCGGCUCUNGCAUCGAUGAAGAACGUAGCGAAAUGCGAUACUUGGUGUGAAUUGCAGAAUCCCGUGAACCAUCGAGUCUUUGAACGCAAGUUGCGCCCGAAGCCAUUAGGCCGAGGGCACAUCUGCC